CGCGCUGCCCUCAAACCAAAGCACGCAGACUGUUUUUAUUUAUAGGCUGUUUCAACUUCAAUUUCAAAUGAUUUUCUAACAAGUUUUUAUUUUCUAAGAACAGUUUGAAUUUAGGUGUGUUCCGCCUCCUCAAUCAUUCACAUAAAAAUAGUCAUUUUUACUUUUGCGGACAAUUACAUUUUUGGGACAUUUCUGACCCGGACAAAAUUCCCCAAGCACUUUCCAAUUGUUUGUGCAGUUCAAGUCUGCAGACAUUUGCUAAUCUCCCGUCAGAAAAGGAUCUGCACACGUGUUCACAUUUUCCAUCUGUUGCCCUCAUUGUUUUCGUUACUAAUAAUAACUUUGGAAAUGUGUGCGUUUCUAUCAAAUGGCGCAGCGGUCAAAGGCACAGCACGGUGCUAGAGACGUCACUACAGACUCCCUGGUUCAAAUCCAUGCUGCGUUUCUAAAAACCACAAACAGUAUUUGCCAAUAUCAUAACUGGACAUCUUUCGAGCUGAAGAUUGAGGACAGCUUUUGUAUGCUAACGUUCUCUCCUUAACAGUUUUACUGGAUGGAAACACAGCAAGAAAACACAUAGGCCAAUAUGUAAUAGUCGUCUAUUUUAUUGAAGUAUUGGUAGUUGGUUCAACAACAACUUGUUUUACUAGAGGA